rnacentral:rRNA from 1 species
CUGGUUGAUCCUGCCAGUAGUCAUAUGCUUGUCUCAAAAGAUUAAGCCAUGCAUGUCUCAGUAUAAUUUACUUACGGUGAAACUGCGAAUGGCUCAUUAAAACAGUUAUAGUUUAUAUGAUGGCCACUCAAUACUUGGAUAACUGUACUAAUUCUAGAGCUAAUACAUGCUGUCAGACCCGACUUUGAGGGAGGGUUGUGCUUAUUAGAUACUGAACCAGCCCACUUCGGUGGUUCUAGUUGAUUCAUAGUAUUCCAGCGCAUCGCCACACGCGACGAAUCAUUCAAGUUUCUGACCUAUCAGCCUCUCGAUGGUAAGGUAUUGGCUUACCAUGGCUUUGACGGGUAACGGAGAAUUCGGGUUCGAUUCCGGAGAGGAGCCUGAGAAACGGCUACCACAUCUAAGGAAGGCAGCAGGCGCGUAAAUUACCUAAUCCUGACACAGGGAGGUAAGUGACAA